AUUUACUCGUACAGCGGUCAAGUCGUGAAAAUUCUGCCGAAUCUGUAGUUCAAAGUUCAAACUGUUGCAGAAGAAGAGCUUGUUCUGGUCAGUGGAAAGAGGAAAUUGGGUUUUGAUUGGAUCAGGUUGAUGGUUUCCUCUUCCUUUGCAAUGUCGGAUUCCGUAUUUGAUCCUUUGUUCGAACCGUGAUGCACUUACUAUGGUCGCUGUUCGUUUGGAAACUGAGAUAGUUCAAGUUGAUGUCCGAAUAAAUUGGGAUUCUUCCUGAGAUAGUUGAUUAGUUCUUCUAAUCACAGGCAUUGUUACAUGGGAAGUGUAUAUAGUGAUCUGUUUCUGUAUUAGGGUUUUUUUUGGAUUUUGGGACGAAUCAGAGUGUUUACAUGCAUAGGUUCCCUCCUAAUCACAGGCGAUAAUAGCAUUGUUCAUCCUUAGGUAUCUUACUUGGCUUAUGAAGUUGCUGACAUUUUUGUGUUUUUAAUUUGUUGGGUUGGAGAGUUGUUUGAUGAUUCUGAAAUGGCUGAAACCACACACUAGCUCGUUCGUUGGAGACACAUCGGAUUCAUGAACUAGAUUAUCAUGAUGAUCAUACUUUCUCAUGUGCUACUACUAGAUAAUGUAUGUAUGUAUGUAUAUAUAUAUGUGUGUGUGUGUGUGUGUGUGUGUUCUGGUUCAAUUUUUCGGUUCUUGAUUCUCUUGUCUUGAUGAUUUAAGAUAUGCAAACGACAUUUGCUGUUUUGAAUGGUUGAAGCCAUGAAUGGUCUGGCUGACAUCCUCGGAAUUGGAUUCUCUUAAAGAUCGCUAGCCUUUGGUUUCAUGAUAUUGGAGUUCUAGAGGGUAUUGUUGUUAUCGAAAAUCCAUGGAUUAGGACAUCGGCUAGCUGAAAUUCCAACAGAGGUGAAUCCUCAAUGUGCAAGAGGACCAUCUCUUAGGAGACUUGUUCCUCUAGUAGAAGAAAUUCACAUACACACAAUUGAAUUGAGUAGGGGAAGGGGAAGGGGAAGGGGAAGGGAAAGGGAAGAGCAAAGAUCUCUCUACCUUACUGCAAACUCCUUUCAUAUUAUUAAAUUGGUAAUUUUGGCUUUUGAUGUUCUUCAUUUCUGGUUAUCACAAUUCAUUUGCAUGAUCAUAUGCUACAAGUAAACUCGGCCGGUCCAACAACAUUACACCGCAACCGAGUAGGAUGAGGUUUUCAUUUUGGCAAACAAAGAGGAAGAUGGUGUAGCUAUGAGCCAUUGUCUGUUCAAUGACAAGAAGGAGGGUUUGCUUUUGGGAAACCGACAUGAUGAUCCACUUCAUGAUUCAUGCUUUGACACAUUAGGAAUCUUUAGGCUUUUACACACACAAAAAAAAAACAAAAACAAAAGCAAGUGAAGAAACACCAUUUGGUGAUUCACUUAUACCUUUAAGGUUAAAAAAGAGGGAGGAGUCUUAUUUUUUUUAUCGGUUAAGUUCGGUUCGGUUUAGUUAACAAAAAGACUUGUAUAAAUAGUCGUUCCUACCAAACCAAAUUGAAAUUUGUUUUACAUUUUA